rnacentral:rRNA from 1 species
UACGAAGGGUGCAAACGUUGCUCGGAAUUACUGGGCGUAAAGCGCACGUAGGCGGAUUUGUAAGUCAGGGGUGAAAUCCCGGGGCUCAACCUCGGAACUGCCUUUGAUACUGCAAAUCUCGAGUCCGGAAGAGGUGAGUGGAAUUCCUAGUGUAGAGGUGAAAUUCGUAGAUAUUAGGAAGAACACCAGUGGCGAAGGCGGCUCACUGGUCCGGUACUGACGCUGAGGUGCGAAAGCGUGGGGAGCAAACAGG